GGCCCUGGAUAGCUCAAUGGUUAAGAGCAGUCGCCCGGAAAGCGGAAGACCCGGGUUCGAGUCCCGGUCCAGUCA
rnacentral:tRNA from 1 species